rnacentral:rRNA from 2 species
AAAUUGAAGAGUUUGAUCAUGGCUCAGAUUGAACGCUGGCGGCAGGCCUAACACAUGCAAGUCGAACGGUAACAGGAAACAGCUUGCUGUUUCGCUGACGAGUGGCGGACGGGUGAGUAAUGUCUGGG